rnacentral:tRNA from 1 species
GGGGUUGUGGCUCAGAGGUAGAGCACUUGCCCAGGACGCAUGAGGCACUGGGUUUGAUUCUCAGCACCACA